CUAAAAUAUUCCAGUGGAUUUAAUUACAUUUUUCUUUCCUAUUAAAUGUUGUUAUUAAGGAUGUUUAUUUACUGAAACAAAAUCACUCAAUAAGAAAAUACAUUUUGUUUGGUGUACUUCAUAAACUUCUCUUUGAAGUUUUUUAGUUUAGGCUAAUAUGCAUUUGCCCGCUUUUAUUUAUUCUUUAAAACCUGGAAAACAGGAGUGGUUUUACUGGUGGGUGACAACCUUGUGAACUAAGCCUUUGCUUCUUGUCGGAAAUUUUUAUUAAAUGCGGCAAAGACUGGGCGACCCACAUGUCUGAGAGUGGAGAUUUUUCAUUUUUUCUUUAAUACUCAUGUUUAAUUUCAUGAUUGGCUAAAGCUCCAGGUGGCUGUUUAAUGUCCAACAGAUGGGCCCUCCGCAAACCCAAUUUUCCUUUGCAGGCUGAUGGCAAUAAAAGGAGGGAUUUUCACAGUUCCGCAGGCACCCCUCGCAUUUCCACUCUCCCAGGGGCAGAGAGAGAGUGAGCAAGACCGCAGUGUUAUACUUUGUUUUUAUUAAAGCAUUUGAUUGACAGCAAAGGAAGAUUUUUCCAAUAUUAAACUCUAGGCCCAUUUGAACGGGGCAAAGUACACCAAGUCUUGAUUUUGAGCUACUGGGACUGAGUUAUACUCUUUCUGUCUCUCUAUCAUUCUAUCUCUCACGCUUUUCCUUUUCUUUUUCGUAUGCUAUGAAGCCAAUAGUUCUGUGGCUCACCACAGGGAGCUGACAGAUUGGCCCUUAAGAUCUCUAGGCUUCUUUUACAAUCAAAACUUGUUAACUCACAUUUCUUACUUUUGGAUGGGAUGGAGAGAGAAAGAAGGAUUCAGAAGGGAGGGUGUAUAGAAGGUGAAGGUGGAGUUAAGAUGCAUCAAAGUCAGGGUCUUGAGAACACAUGUUUGGACAUAAAAGUGUGUGUAUACUAUAGAUUAGGAGCGCUGUAAAACCAAGAACUUAUUCUCCUAAGGCCAGUCAAAUGAGGAGAUAGAAGCAGCUGCAAAGUCCAACUCCCUCUGUCCUCGCUGACCUUCACAGUCGCUGUCCUCAUCCUCUUCCUCACUGUGAUUUCAGGGAUAAGUGUUCAAGACUAAGGUGCACACUAAAAUCUGAGAGAAAGUCACUUGAAUCAAAGAUUAGAGUUCAUUGGAUGCUUGGAUGAGGCAUUCUUAUUUAUCCACGUUUACCAAAUGUUCUUGUGAUAAUUACAUGAAAAGACAAAAAGACAGCUCAAAUAAGUUGGCCUAGUAUUUUUUUUUUUUUUUUUUUUUGUUAAGACUUUGUUCAGAAUGGAUUUUUAAAAAUAAUAUAUUAGUAUAGUGUUGGUCAUGUUCUACUGUUUUCUGUGUAACCCAGCAUUAACAGAGGACAAAUUAGCAGGGCUAUUUCAACAAUAGCAGCUCAAUAUUAGCCUCUCCAGCAGGAAACAAUUAGCUAACAGCAGGUAUAAGUGGACAGGAUCGUGUUUUCUGACUGUAGAAAUGUUGACACAGAAGAAACUGGCAGAAACUCAAGUCACAGAAAAAUAGUUUUCUCUCUCCUACAGGUCGGUGUGUGUGUGUGUUUUAGGGACGAGAGUCGGAGAGAGCUGGAACGGGCCAGCCAGGCUCUUUGGACACCUGUCAUUCCAUCAUUGCUUCACUACUUCCCGUCCUGUGGUAUUCACAAGGCUCUCUGCUGGACCUGUGAAAGCUUUACCAGGAGCCUGAGAUAUGGACUGAUACAUAAACACUCUGACAGAAAACAAAACAGAUCUAAUACAAAAGAAGUGAAUGGGAGCUGUACUUGAAUUAAUGGAAAUAGCUGCCUGGAGAUGCCAAAGAUGGCUGCAAAGUGGACUGACUGACUGAAACUGGAAAUGGUCUGGGUUUCCGGAGUGUUUUUAAAGAGCGUUGCUUGGCUAUCUUUGAAUGGAGAGGAGGAGCUUUAGGACUGAACAAAGAAUGUUUCAAGACUUUUAAUUUCUACAACAUCCACUCAGGCGCUGAUUAGUUCUCUUCCAAGCCUUUCCAUGCUGCCCUCAGGAGUGAUCUGUAUGCUUGGUAUAUUCUUCAUGGCGUAAGAUGUUUCACUUACACCAACACUACGUUUUCAUGGACCUGCCAGAAUCCAAAAUAAAAGAGUAUUUUUUUUUCUGCUUUCCCUCAGAACAGCAACCAAACUGAUGUAAUCUAUCAGUUUUAGACGAAAGUCAAA